rnacentral:lncRNA from 1 species
GUCUUUCCUUUUUUUUUGGACAACAAAUAUAAAGACCGUUUUUAGUCUGAAGAGUUUGUAAUUUUAGUGGUGGUUUGGUAGAGCUUCUCUAAAUAGACCUGCCUUACUAAUUUUCAACUUGCCUUGGAUAUGACCUUUUUAUAAUGUUGCUGAAGUUUCCUUAAGUUCUUAAAGUUCUAGACAUAUUUAAGAUCAAAACAUAUUCCAAUACAUAAUCAGAACAAUUUUGGCCCUGACACGAGGUGGUGCAUAUUUAAAAGUCUGCUUUUAAAUGCAGUGGAAUACAAUGUAUACUUCCAAAAUCUGAAUGUCUUAAAGGUUUUUUUUUAUUUUAUAUUGCAGGUUUACAAGAUUGCACAAAAUUGCUAAAUAACAGGGUGACUAACACAUAUGUUUUCAUUUGUACAUCUCUCUAAGAAAGAUCUUUUAGAACUGGAUUGGAAGCUAUCACUUUGCAGCUGGGAUGGAUAUGAAGAAAAGAGAGAUUGUGAGGAGAAAAGAGAUUAUUUCUCUGUUCCUUAAAGACACAGAUACAGGAUAAUAAAAAAAUGAUUUGUUGUUCCAUUGUGUUGUCAAGGAGUAGUUUGCUUCAGGACUCCUCAAGAGGUAGGACUGUUUCUAUGCAGAGCCACCACAAGAGGGCUUAAAUGUGAUCAUUUUUCAACAGAAGAACCAACAGAAAACAAAAGUUGGUUUUCUGCUGUGUAUGUGGUACACUUCAUGUAGGUGCAGUGAUAUUGAUGAAGUGCUGCAAUAAAGAUAUUCCUUAUGGAAAUAUUUUUUGACA